UACAGAGGGGGCAAGCGUUGUUCGGAAUUACUGGGCGUAAAGCGUGCGCAGGCGGUUAUGCAAGACAGAUGUGAAAUCCCCGGGCUCAACCUGGGAACUGCAUUUGUGACUGCAUAGCUAGAGUACGGUAGAGGGGGAUGGAAUUCCGCGUGUAGCAGUGAAAUGCGUAGAUAUGCGGAGGAACACCGAUGGCGAAGGCAAUCCCCGGGACCUGUACUGACGAUCAUGCACGAAAGCGUGGGGAGCAAACAGG
rnacentral:rRNA from 1 species